rnacentral:tRNA from 1 species
CAAAAGAUAGUUUAAUAAAGAUUCCGGCUUUGGGGGUCGGAGAUAAGGGUUUGAGUCUCUUUCUUUUGA